rnacentral:rRNA from 1 species
UACGAAGGGGGCUAGCGUUGUUCGGAAUUACUGGGCGUAAAGCGCACGUAGGCGGACAUUUAAGUCAGGGGUGAAAUCCCAGAGCUCAACUCUGGAACUGCCUUUGAUACUGGGUGUCUUGAGUAUGGAAGAGGUGAGUGGAAUUCCGAGUGUAGAGGUGAAAUUCGUAGAUAUUCGCAAGAACACCAGUGGCGAAGGCGGCCAACUGGACCAUCACUGACGCUGAGGUGCGAAAGCGUGGGGAGCAAACAGG